rnacentral:rRNA from 1 species
UACGUAGGUGACAAGCGUUGUCCGGAUUUACUGGGCGUAAAGAGCGCGCAGGCGGUCGUUCAAGUCGAGUGUGAAAGCCCCCGGCUCAACUGGGGAGGGUCAUUCGAUACUGAUCGACUCGAAGGCAGGAGAGGGAAGUGGAAUUCCCGGUGUAGUGGUGAAAUGCGCAGAUAUCGGGAGGAACACCAAUGGCGAAGGCAGCUCGCUGGGACGUGACUGA